rnacentral:rRNA from 1 species
UAAGAGCUUACCAAGGCGACGAUCGGUAGCUGGUCUGAGAGGACGAUCAGCCACACUGGGAUUGAGAACGGCCCAGACUCCUACGGGGGGCAGCAGUGAGGAAUUUUCCGCAAUGGACGAAAGUCUGACGGAGCAACGCCGCGUGCAGGAGGACGCUUUUCGGGGUGUAAACUGCUUUUCCCAGGGAAGAGAGCGGACGGUACCUGGGGAAGAAGCCCCUGCUAACUACGUGCCAGCAGCCCGCGGUAAUUCGUAGGGGGCGAGCGUUGUCCGGAGUUACUGGGCGUAAAGGGCAUGCAGGCCGUCCUACUC